UGUCCACACACCCGCCAAACACAAGCCCCUUGCAUGCCUCAUUCACAAAGUGGCUGGCCAGGUGCAGCUCAGGACCCUCAGGCAUUCUGUAGAAGGGGUGGCUGGGCCCUGUGGAAGGAGGAUGACAGCAGGUUGGGCCAGGUGUGCACACUAUGAGGUAGGAAUUAUCACCUUCAUUUACAAAGGAGAACUCUGAGGGUCAGAGGGGACCACAGUCAACUGGAGUUGACAGGAAAGUCAGCUAUCCUCACAGCCCCUGGCCCCUACCUGAGAGUGCUGGGAAAGCCUAGGGCACUGGGGAACUCAGACUGGGGACGUGUGACUGCCUUGCUCAUUAACCCCCUUCCAUGGGCUUUCAGGAGCUUGACGCUUUUAGAAUAAAGUCCAGAUCCUGUCUGGGCCCAAACCAUCAUCUCAUUUCCUCCCAGGUUCCCCUCAUUCACUUGCUCCAAGAACCUGCUCUUCCCAUCUCCAUGCCUUCACACCUGCUGUCCUACCCGUCUGGGGCACUUGAGAGAGGUCCUUCCUGACCACCCCAUCCAAGGACUGAGGGAAUGGACCUGACCCUGUCUGGUAGAGAGCUGGGAAAACGGACGCUCGGAGGCUCGGCUAGCAGUGAGGACAAGCCUGCCACCAUCCUCGGUCAGGGCCGAGGAAGAGGGAAGGCAGGCAGGUGUCCCCAGGUGCAUCUGCUGAAGCCAAGUCCACAGGGCUCCGAGGAGGGGCUCCCGGAGCUCUAGGCAAGCACGGCCCAGGGGGACUAGGAAAGGCCCAUUUAGGGUCUCGGGCACACCACACUUCCUCACCCUUGCCCCCUCCAGGUUUCUUCUACCCCGGGACAUUGUGUGAUGGAAGGUGAAGGUAUGUGUGGGGCAGAGUGGAGCGCUUAGCCAGGGCACACUCCUUUGUCCUGGCUCCCCCACCUCAGCGCUGACCAGAGCCUGGCACCUGAAAGGAUGCUGGCUGCUCUGUAGUCCAAACUGUAUCGCAUUUGGAAGCACCCAACAUCUGGGUGUCCCACUUAGGCUGGAACUGACCGUGGGUGAGACUUUGACAGCCUCUGCGUUGCAAAGGUAUGUUUCACACUCUGUGACCACUUAAGUAAUCUGUGGGGUGAUUUUGUGUUUUUUUUGGUCUCUUUUUAUUUAAAUUAGGGUAUAAUUUGCAUUCAGUAAAUUCACCCUUUUUAGAGUGAGUUUUCCCAAAUACAUAUCCUCACAUAACUAUUGGCACAAUCAAGAGGGAAUACACAGUGAAAUAAGCCAGGUGGAGAAAGACAAGUGCCCAAUGAUUUCCCUCAUUUGUAGAGUAUAACAAUGAAGCAAAACUGAAGGAACAAAAUGGCAGCAGACUCAGAGACUCGAAGAAUGAACUAGCAGUUACCAAAAGGGAGGGGUGUGGGAGGCCGGGUGGGGAGGGAGGGAGAAGGGGACUGAGGGGUGUUAUGUUCAGUACACAUGGUGUGGGGGUCACGGGGAGAACAGUGUAGCACAGAAAAGGCACACAGUGGAUCUGUGGCAUCCUGCUGCACUGAUGGACAGUGACUGCAUUGGGGUGUGGGUGGGGACUUGAUAAUAUGGGUAAAUGUAGAAACCACAUUGUUUUUUCACAUGAAAC